rnacentral:rRNA from 1 species
GUGUCAGCAGCCGCGGUAAUACGGAGAGUGCAAGCAUUAAUCGGAAUUAUUGGGCGUAAAGGGCGCGUAGGCGGAAAGAUAAGUCAGAUGUGAAAUUCCGAAGCUCAACUUCGGAGCUGCAUUUGAAACUAUAUUUCUAGAGGAUUGACGGAGAAAACGGAAUUCCACGUGUAGCGGUGAAAUGCGUAGAUAUGUGGAAGAACACCUGUGGCGAAAGCGGUUUUCUAGUUUAUACCUGACGCUGAGGCGCGAGAGCAAGGGGAGCAAACAGGAUUAGAUACCCUGGUAGUCCUUGCCGUAAACGAUGUAUACUUGAUGUAAUUGGGCUCAACCCCGAUUGUGUCGAAGCUAACGCGAUAAGUAUACCGCCUGGGGAGUACGCUCGCAAGGGUGAA